rnacentral:rRNA from 1 species
AGAAGUUUGAUCAUGGCUCAGGACGAACGCUGGCGGCGUGGAUUAGGCAUGCAAGUCGAACGGUAUAAACCUUUCGGGGUUUAGAGGAGUGGCGAACGGGUGAGUAACACGUAGGUAAUCUACCCUCAAAACGGGGACAACCCAGGGAAACUUGGGCUAAUACCGGAUGCGUGCAAGCAAUGUUUUGGCUGUUAAUGCUAUUCACGGAAGUGAGUAGUGUUAAUGGUUGAGAGCAUUAUUUGCAUAAAAGGUGGCAUAUGCUGCCGUUUGAGGAUGAGCCUGCGUCCUAUUAGUUAGUUGGUGAGGUAAUGGCUUACCAAGGCGAUGAUAGGUAGGCGGCCUUAACGGGUGGUCGCCCACACUGGGACUGAGAGACGGCCCAGACUCCUACGGGAGGCAGCAGUCGAGAAUAGUCUACAAUGGACGGAAGUCUGAUAGUGCGACGCCGCGUGAACGAAGAAUCCCUUCGGGGUGUAAAGUUCUUUUAUACGUGAGCAGUGCCCUUUAUAUGAAUAGUAUAGAGGGAGGGAUUUAAGCGUAUGAAUAAGCAACGGCUAACUCCGUGCCAGCAGCCGCGGUAACACGGGGGUUGCAAGCGUUGUCCGGAAUUACUAGGCGUAAAGUGCAGGUAGGCGGAUAGAUAAGUUUAAGGUUAAAGGCUACGGCUUACCCGUAGUAAGGCGUUAGAUACUGUUUAUCUGGAAUGCGGUUGAGGGAGACAGAAUUCCUGGUGUAGCGGUGGAAUGCGCAGAGAUCAGGAGGAAUACCGAAGGCGAAGGCAGUCUUCUAAGCCGAUAUUGACGCUAAACUGCGAAGGUGUGGGGAUCAAACAGGAUUAGAUACCCUGGUAGUCCACACAGUAAACGAUAAUCACUAGGUGUUGGGUUCGUAUAGGACUCGGUGCCGGAGCUAACGCGAUAAGUGAUUCGCCUGGGGAGUACGAUCGCAAGGUUGAAACUCAAAUGAAUUGACGG